CAAAUAAAUAGUUCCUGUUUUCUGUUUUACUAUUUAUCAGUGCCAGAUACUCUAAGCAUUUGACACGGCCGUAUUUGUGAAAUUUUAAUGCUGAUGUGAACUUUAAUACUGAUAUAUAUUGUCAGUCCAGCUGUGAGUGAGAAGCUUAAAUGAUGUUGUAUACCGUCAGUCCAGCUGUGAGUUAGAAGCUUAAAUGAUGAUGUAUACUGUCAGUUCAGCUGUGAGUGAGAAGCUUAAAUGAUGAUGUAUACCGUCAGUCCAGCUGUUAGUGAGAAGCUUAAAUGAUGAUGUAUACCGUCAGUUCAGCUGUGAGUGAGAAGCUUAAAUGAUGUUGUAUACCGUCAGUCCAGCUGUGAGUUAGAAGCUUAUAUGAUGAUGUAUACUGUCAGUUCAGCUGUGAGUGAGAAGCUUAAAUGAUGAUGUAUACCGUCAGUCCAGCUGUGAGUGAGAAGCUUAAAUGAUGAUGUAUACCGUCAGUCCAGCUGUGAGUGAGAAGCUUAAAUGAUGAUGUAUACCGUCAGUCCAGCUGUGAGUGAGAAGCUUAAAUGAUGAUGUAUACCGUCAGUCCAGCUGUGAGUGAGAAGCUUAAAUGAUGUUGUAUACCGUCAGUCCAGCUGUGAGUGAGAAGCUUAAAUGAUGUUGUAUUCCGUCAGUCCAGCUGUGAGUGAGAAGCUUAAAUGAUGUUGAAUACCUUCAGUCCAGCUGUGAGUGAGAAGCUUAAAUGAUGUUGUAUACCGUCAGUCCAGCUGUGAGUGAGACGCUUAAAUGAUGAUGUCUACCGUCAGUCCAGCUGUGAGUGAAAAGCUUAAAUGAUGAUGUGUACCAUCAUUCCAGCUGUGAGUGAGAAGCUUAAAUGAUGUUGUAUACCGUCAGUCCAGCUGUGAGUGAGAAGCUUAAAUGAUGAUGUAUACUGCUGUUCAUGUAUAAAAGUCCACAACUUUAAAAUUUACUGUAGAAACAAAGAGCAACAUGGGACAGAGGAACCAUUGAUUGAAGUUUUCUUAAACUGCUUGUGGGGUAAAGAAUGAAAAUUGAUGUUUAUAGUUAGUACAAUUUUAAAUUUUAUUUAUACAGAUGCAGUUGAAAUUUUCUGCCCCACCGAAACCUGGUAUCUACACAUAUAACAUCAUUCUUAGAUCAGACAGUUACUUUGACUUUGACCAGAUUCACAACAUCAAGCUGGACGUGAAGGAGGCCAAGGUUGUCGAGGACCAUCCACAGUGGGAUAUUUCUGAUUCUGAGGAUGAAGCCAGAGACCAGGACGCUGAAGCCAGUAAUGACUCUGAUUACUCCACAGACAUGGAUGACUCGGAUGACGAAUAAUCUGAUCAAUGCAUGAAAAGUUUCAGUCACUGUGAUCAAAAUUUAUGGUCUUAACACCAUGUAUGAAAUUAUGUUGGAUGGGGACAAUUAACUGACCAUAUGUAUGUUGUGGAAUAUGUGAUAUUUAGUCAGUUAUAUUGAAAGUUUUGUACAAGGUACAGAUCUGUAGUAUUUAGAGUGAAAUGUAGUCAAUUUGAGAAAACUACAUGUGGUGUUUGAAUGAAAUGACUAUAAAUCUGAUUAUAAUAUUUUCAGUACUGGUGGCAAGUUAUGUGUUCAUUUUGAGAUAUUUGUGGAACCUGUUUACACAGUCUUAUAUACUGAGCUGACUGCAUUAGUUGUGAAUCAGACUCUUUAAGAGGUAUGUGUAAGCUGUCAGUUGAUCAUUAAGUACAAUUUUGCCUUUUUAUGUUGUAUACAUAAUAUCUACCAACAGGAAGAGUUUGAGGCAUUUUACUUGAAAGAAAAAAUUCAUUUGUCUUGUGCCAAAUCUACUGUACUACAAAUGUUUGGGAUUUUUACGUAAAAAGUUAACUUUUUUCCCUAGCUGAUUGGAAUGACAAAUCCAAUAUUAAAUACAUAAUUGUUUUACAGUGUGUGAAAAUAUUCCACAAGAUAUCUGUAAUAAUACAAGUAAAACACAGCUCACUCAAGCAUAUCAUGGAUUGCUCGAAAUCCCCGUGACCUUGAGUGAUUAAUGUUUUACUGUAUAAUCGUUAUAUUAGUGCUGCCAUAGAGCCACCUGAUUGUACAUACACAACACAUUAUUGGUGCUGGUACCAUAACUAUGACUAUUAUUACUGCAAGUUGGAUUACAUUUAAGAUCAUUUCAUUUUUAGCCCACCAUCAUCAGAUGGUGGGCUAUUCAAAUCACUCUGCAUCCGUGGUCCGUCGUCCUUCCGUCCGUUAACAAUUUCUUGUUAUCGCAUCUCCUCAGAAACUACUAGGGGGAUUUUGACCAAACUUUGUCAGAAUGAUGUAUUGGUACCCUAGUUGUGUCCCCCUGAAAAUCAGACUGGUUCAACAAUUUUUUAGUAAGUUAUGGCCCUUUGUUUAUUUCUAUAAUUUACAUAGAUUUAUAUAGGGAAAAACUUUGAAAACCUUCUUGUCCAUAACCACAGAGCCUAGGGCUUUGAUAUUUGGUUUGAAGCAUCAUCUAGUGGUCCUCUACCAAGAUGAUUCAAAUUAUUUUUCUGGGGUCAAAUAUGGCCCCGCCCUGGGGGUCACAUGGUUUAUAUUGACUUAUAUAGGGAAAAACUUUAAAUAACCUCUUGUCCAAAACCACAGGGCCUAGGGCUUUGAUAUUUUGUAUGUGACAUCAUCUAGUGGUCUUCAACUAAGAUUGUUCAAAUUAUACCCCUAGGGUCAAAUAUGGCCCCGCCCUGGGGGUCAUAUGUUUUACAUAGACUUAUAUAAGGAAAAACUUUGAAAAUCUUCUUGUCCAAACCACAAAGCCUAAGGCUUUGAUACUUGUAAUGUAGCAUCAUCUAGUGGUUCUCUACCAAGUUUGUUCAAAUUAUCCCCCUAGGGUCAAAAAUGGCCCCGCCCCAGGGCUCACAUGGUUCAUACAGACUUAUAUAGGGAAAAGCUUUUAAAAUGUUCUUGUCAAUAACUACAACAUUCAUAUUUGGACCACAUAUAUAUUUUUGAGUGGCAAGAUGAACCUUGACAUGAGUUGACCUUGAUUUUGACCUAGUGACCUACUUUCACAUUUCUGUAGCUACAGCCUUCAAAUUUGGAUCACAUGUAUAUUCUUGAGUGGCAAGAUGAACCUUGACAUGAGUUCACCUUGAUUUUGACCUAGUGACCUACUUUCACAUUUCUGUAGCUACAGCCUUCAAAUUUGGACCACAUGCAAAGUUUUGUGCACUGGAAAAAAACUUUGACCUUGAUUUUGACUUAGUGACCUACUUUCAUAUUUUUAAAGGUACAGGCGUCAAAUUUAGACCAUAUGCAUAGUUCUGUGUUUCAAAAUGAAAUUUGACAUUGAUUUUGACCUAGUGACCUACUUUCACAUUUCUCAAGCUACAGCCUUCAAAUUUGGACCACAUGUAUAGUUUUGUGCACUGAAAAAAAACUUAGACCUUCACAUUGACCUAGUGACCUUCUUUCACAUUUUUGAAGGUACAUGCUUCAAAUUUGGACCACAUGCAUAGUUUUGUAUUCUGAAAUAAAAUUUGACCUUGAUUUUGACCUAGUGACCUACUUUUACAUUUCUCAAGCUACAGCCUUCAAAUUUGGACCACUUGCAUAGUUUUGUGUACCAAAAUGAACUUUGACCUUAAGGUUGACCUAGUGACCUACUUUCACAUUUCUGUAGCUACAGGCUUCAAAUUUAGACCACAUGCAUAGGACUGUGUACCGAAACAAACUUUGACCUUGACAUUGACCUACUUUCACAUUUCUCUAGCUACAGCUUUCGAAUUUGGACCACAUGCACAGUGUUGUGUACGGAAACGAAAUUUGACCUUGAGCUAGUCAGUAAGUCUUGAAAUUUGGAACACUCCAAAAUGGCACAUUGGUGGGCGCCAAGAUCACUCUGUGAUCUCUUGUUGCAAUUCAUGAUAGCUGACAGAGAUGGAAAUUGACAGUUGUCCCAGCUAAGUUGGGGAUAAUGUACAAUGUACAAAAUAUGUAAUAUAUACUAAGUGAAUAAUAUCCAAUCUGUAGCAGUUUUUAGCUCACCUGUCACAAAGUGACAAGGUGAGCUUUUGUGAUCGCGCAGCGUCCGUCGUCCGUCCGUGCGUGCGUAAACUUUUGCUUGUGACCACUCUAUAGGUCACAUUUUUCAUGGGAUCUGUAUGAAAAUUGGUCAGAAUGUUCCCCUUGAUGAUAUCUAGGUCAAGUUCGAAACUGGGUCACGUGCGGUCAAAAAGUAGGUCUAAAAAUAGAAAAACCUUGUGACCUCUCUAGAGGCCAUAUAUUUCACAAGAUCUUCAUGAAAAUUGGUCAGAAUGUUUAUCUUGAUGAUAUCUAGGUCAAGUUCGAAACUGGGUCAUGUGCAGUCAAAAACUAGGUCAGUAGGUCUAAAAAUAGAAAAACCUUGUGACCUCUCUAGAGGCCAUACUUAUGAAUGGAUCUUCAUAAAAAUUGGUCAGAAUGUUCACCUUGAUGAUAUCUAGGUCAAGUUUGAAACUGGGUCAUGUGCGGUCAAAAACUAGGUCAGUAGGUCUAAAAAUAGAAAAACCUUGUGACCUCUCUAGAGGCCAUAUAUUUCAUGAUAUCUUCAUGAAAAUUGGUCAGAAUGUUCACCUUGAUGAUAUCUAGGUCAAGUUCGAAACUGGGUCACGUGCCGUCAAAAACUAGGUCAGUAGGUCAAAUAAUAGAAAAACCUUGUGACCUCUCUAGAGGCCAUAUUUUUCAUGGGAUCUGUAUGAAAGUUGGUCUGAAUGUUCAUCUUGAUGAUAUCUAGGUCAAGUUUGAAAGUGGGUCAUGUGUGGUCAAAAACUAGGUCAGUAGGUCUAAAAAUAGAAAAACCUUGUGACCUCACUAGAGGCCAUACUUGUGAAUGGAUCUCCAUAAAAUUUGGUCAGAAUGUUCAUCUUGAUGAUAUCUAGGUCAAAUUCGAAAGUGGGUCACGUGCCUUCAAAAAGUAGGUCAGUAGGUCAAAUAAUGAAAAAAUGUUGUGACCUCUCUAGAGGCCAUAUUUUUCAUGGGAUCUGUAUGAAAGUUGGUCUGAAUGUUUAUCUUGAUGAUAUAUAGGUCAAGUUUGAAACUGGGUCAACUGCAAUCAAAAACUAGGUCAGUAGGUCUUAAAAUAGAAAAACCUUGUGACCUCUCUAGAGGCCAUACCCUUGAAUGGAUCUUCACGAAAAUUGGUCAGAAUUUUUAUCUUGAUAAUGUCUAGGUCAAGUUCAAAACUGGGUCACGAGCUCAAAAACUACGGUAGGUCACUAUGUCAAAUAGUAGAAAAAACGACGUCAUACUCAAAACUGGGUCAUGUGGGAACAGGUGAGCGAUUCAGGACCAUCAUGGUCCUCUUGUUUUUUUUCAUGGUCAACUUGUAUAGUUCCAUUUGACAGUUUUGUUUUUUGGAGCACAUUUUUUCCUUCAAAGAAAAGUUUGUGAAAUAAAUUUUCAGCCAUAUUUUUGUAAGAAGUAUGUACAUAAAAUAAAUUAUUUUACAAAUUGUUUAA